AUGCUGCUGUGCCUCCUGGACGACGCUCGCGUGCCUCGGAUGCACCCCCUUCUCUCCCGAGCUCCAGAUCCAUGGCUGCAGCGGCGAGAUGAAAUUGCAACACCUGGUACCAAGACCAUGCUGGGAUUUUCUGAUCAUGUUAGGAGCUUUGUCAAUCCUGUAUGGACGACCUCUUUGAGUGGAAAUGAUUCGGAUACAACAUCACGGACAGGAAAACAGUUGGACAUCAGCCAUGAAAAGGUUCGAGGUAUUUCACGGAGUUUCCUACCAGCUAUUCAUCUAGAGCACUAUCCUUGUGAAAAUUUCUCAUUUUCUCCUCCAUCUAUUGAUAGGAGACGCACUCGACAAGGGUCAUGUCCUGUUUGUUAUGUGCCUGUUGACCAGGGCCUGGCAUUGAUGCCAGCUGCUCAUCUGUCCGAAGACAAUUUGGUACUCAUAGGUCCAAUAGUGGUUCUUUGUUUCGUGGUUAUCCAUCCCUGGAACAACGAGAUAUGUCUUAUAUGA
rnacentral:rRNA from 1 species